GCCCGUUUAGCUCAGAGGCAGAGCGUCUCGUUCACAUCGAGAAGGACGGAGGUUCAAAUCCUCCAACGGGCA
rnacentral:tRNA from 1 species